rfam:Schizophyllum commune H4-8 unplaced genomic scaffold SCHCOscaffold_3, whole genome shotgun sequence.
GGCACUAUGACCGAGUGGUUAAGGUGUGAGACUUGAAUGCUCAUUCACAUCUCAUGGUCUUUGACCGCGCAGGUUCGAACCCUGCUGGUGUCG